GUCUACAGCCAUGCUACCCUGAACAAGCCCGAUCCCAUCUGAUCUCAGAAGCUAAGCAGGGUUGGGCCUGGUUAGUACUUGGAUGGGAGAUGACCUAGGAAGACCAGGUGCUGUAGAUG
rnacentral:rRNA from 1 species